rnacentral:rRNA from 1 species
UGCAUUAGCUAGUUGGUAAGGUAACGGCUUACCAAGGCAACGAUGCAUAGCCGACCUGAGAGGGUGAUCGGCCACACUGGAACUGAGACACGGUCCAGACUCCUACGGGAGGCAGCAGUAGGGAAUCUUCCGCAAUGGGCGAAAGCCUGACGGAGCAACGCCGCGUGAGUGAUGAAGGUCUUCGGAUCGUAAAACUCUGUUAUUAGGGAAGAACAUAUGUGUAAGUAACUGUGCACAUCUUGACGGUACCUAAUCAGAAAGCCACGGCUAACUACGUGCCAGCAGCCGCGGUAAUACGUAGGUGGCAAGCGUUAUCCGGAAUUAUUGGGCGUAAAGCGCGCGUAGGCGGU